rnacentral:tRNA from 2 species
GGGGCCAUAGCUCAGUUGGGAGAGCGCUUGAAUGGCAUUCAAGAGGUCGUCGGUUCGAUCCCGUCUGGCUCCA